GACGAACGCUGGCGGCGUGCUUAACACAUGCAAGUCGAACGGAAAGGCCCUUCGGGGUACUCGAGUGGCGAACGGGUGAGUAACACGUGGGUGAUCUGCCCUGCACUUUGGGAUAAGCCUGGGAAACUGGGUCUAAUACCGAAUAGGACCACGCGCUUCAUGGUGUGUGGUGGAAAGCUUUUGCGGCGUGGGAUGGGCCCGCGGCCUAUCAGCUUGUUGGUGGGGUAAUGGCCUACCAAGGCGACGACGGGUAGCCGGCCUGAGAGGGUGACCGGCCACACUGGGACUGAGAUACGGCCCAGACUCCUACGGGAGGCAGCAGUGGGGAAUAUUGCACAAUGGGCGCAAGCCUGAUGCAGCGACGCCGCGUGAGGGAUGACGGCCUUCGGGUUGUAAACCUCUUUCACCAGGGACGAAGCGUAAGUGACGGUACCUGGAGAAGAAGCACCGGCCAACUACGUG
rnacentral:rRNA from 1 species